GUGGGGAAUAUUGGGCAAUGGGGGAAACCCUGACCCAGCGACGCCGCGUGAGGGAAGACGGCCUUCGGGUUGUAAACCUCUUUUGUACGGGAAGAAGGAAGUGACGGUACUGUACGAAUAAGUCCCGGCUAACUACGUGCCAGCAGCCGCGGUAAUACGUAGGGGACGAGCGUUGUCCGGAAUUACUGGGCGUAAAGGGCGCGCAGGCUGUGCUGCAAGUCAGCUGUGAAAUGUCUGGGCUUAACCCGGGCAUGCGGUUGAGACUGCAGUGCUGGAGUGCUGUAGAGGCAAGUGGAAUUCCCAGUGUAGCGGUGAAAUGCGUAGAUAUUGGGAAGAACACCGGUGGCGAAGGCGACUUGCUGGGCAGCAACUGACGCUGAGGCGCGAAAGCCAGGGGAGCAAACGGGAUUAGAAACCCGUGUAGUCC
rnacentral:rRNA from 1 species